CCUACGGGAGGCAGCAGUGAGGAAUAUUGGUCAAUGGACGAAAGUCUGAACCAGCCAAGUAGCGUGAAGGAUGACUGCCCUAUGGGUUGUAACCUUCUUUUAUAUGGGAAUAAAAUGUUCCACGUGUGGGAUUUUGUAUGUACCAUAUGAAUAAGGAUCGGCUAACUCCGUGCCAGCAGCCGCGGUAAUACGGAGGAUCCGAGCGUUCUCCGGAUUUAUUGGGUUUAAAGGGAGCGUAGGUGGAUUGGUAAUUCAGUUGUGAAAGUUUGCGGCUCAACCGUAAAAUUGCAGUUGAAACUGGCAGUCUUGAGUACAGUAGAGGAGGGCGGAAUUCGUGGUGUAGCGGUGAAAUGCUUAGAUAUCUCGAAGAACUCCGAUGGCGAAGGCAAUUCACUGGACUGCAACUGACACUGAGGCUCGAAAGUGUGGGUAUCAAACAGGAUUAGAUACCCUGGUAGUC
rnacentral:rRNA from 1 species